AGACAUAAAAUCCUCUAAACAAAGGCGCACAUAUUAAAAUAAUAUAGAAAUUAAUACUAUUUUCUUAGUAUUAUUUGAGAAUAUCCAUUUUUUUUAGUAGAUUAUUGCAUAGUAUUCUUUUUCACUUAAAUGAAUUUUUGUAUUUGUAAUUCAUUGAUAUUGCAAUUUGAAUAUUGCAAUAAUUUAUAUUGAAAAGACGAUAGCCAAUUUAUUGGCUAAUUCGAAUUCGUCUGUACAAUUCGUAAAAUUCUUUCUUAUUUCUUAUUGUUGAAAUCCAAAAUUAAAGUCUCUUGGCUCUCUUCACGCUUUCUCACAAACAGAUUAAAAAAUAGAUUUUUAUUUUUGAAGUUUGGAUAAACCAUUGCUUCGUCUGGUGUCUACAAUACAUAUAACUCAUUAUAGUACUAAUUUCAUUUUUACCAGAUCGAAAAAUUUUAUGUUGAAAAGAAAAAUUUAUAGAUCCAAUGUCACAUUCCGUAAAAAUUU
rnacentral:rRNA from 1 species